rnacentral:rRNA from 1 species
CAUGUCUUUUUGAAUAUAAUUUAAAGUCUAACCUGCCCACUAAGGGCCGCAGUAUUUUGACUGUGCAAAGGUAGCAUAAUCAUUAGUUUUUUAAUUGAGGACUUGUAUGAAUGGUUGGACGAGGUAUUAACUGUCUCUAUUUAAUAAUUGAAUUUAAUUUUUAAAUUAAAAAGUUUAAAUUUAAUUAAAAGACGAGAAGACCCUAUAGAUCUUUAUAUUUAAAGUUUUAAAAAAUUAUUAGAAUAUAAUAUUUAUAAUAUUUUAUUGGGGUGAUAUAAAAAUUUAUUAAACUUUUUAUUUUUUAACCAUUUAUUUAUGAAAAAAUGAUCCAAUUUUAUUGAUUAAAAGAUUAAGUUACCUUAGGGAUAACAGCGUAAUUUUAUUGGAGAGUUCAUAUCGAUAAUAAAGAUUGCGACCUCGAUGUUGAAUUUUUAGGUGUAGAAGUUUAAAAUUUUAGUCUGUUCGACUAUUAAAUUCUUACGUGAU